UGGGGAAUCUUAGACAAUGGGGGAAACCCUGAUCUAGCCAUGCCGCGUGAGCGAUGAAGGCCUUAGGGUUGUAAAGCUCUUUCAGCUGGGAAGAUAAUGACGGUACCAGCAGAAGAAGCCCCGGCUAACUCCGUGCCAGCAGCCGCGGUAAUACGGAGGGGGCUAGCGUUGUUCGGAAUUACUGGGCGUAAAGCGCACGUAGGCGGAUUAGUCAGUCAGAGGUGAAAUCCCAGGGCUCAACCCUGGAACUGCCUUUGAUACUGCUAGUCUUGAGGUCGAGAGAGGUGAGUGGAAUUCCGAGUGUAGAGGUGAAAUUCGUAGAUAUUCGGAUGAACACCAGUGGCGAAGGCGGCUCACUGGCUCGAUACUGACGCUGAGGUGCGAAAGCGUGGGGAGCAAAACAGGAUUAGAUACCCUGGUAGUCCACGCCGUAAACGAUGAAUGCCAGUCGUCGGGUUGCAUGCAAUUCGGUGACACACCUAACGGAUUAAGCAUUCCGCCUGGGGAGUACGGUCGCAAGAUUAAAACUCAAAGGAAUUGACGGGGUCAUAGCUGUUUCCUG
rnacentral:rRNA from 1 species